GUUUGUCUGGACGGUGAGAGGAAGACCGACGGUUGUAACCAGUGCUCCUGUUUGGGAGGCGCCUGGGCUUGCACCUUCAGAGCCUGCGUCGACCCCGCAGAUACAUUUCCUGGAUCGCUGACAUGCAAGCUGGCUCCCCACAUCAAAGGGUGUUGAAAAAUCCCGCCACGAUAUCAAGAAUACCUGCUUGACUAAAUUAGGCAGGACAAUUGUUGGCUGAUCAAAGA
rnacentral:lncRNA from 1 species